ensembl:lncRNA
CAGCCCGUUAUGUUUCUGGCCUUUGUGGAGACAAUGAAACCUGCACUAAGAACCAGCUCCCAGAAGCAACCUCGAGGAAUGGUCAAGAUAAAGUAGAACCUCAAGUGCAAACCCCAUUUGCACGUCAUCAGGGUCAGGUUUGAAUCCACACUCUCCAGGUUUGAUUCUGGUUCAGACCCCACACCAGCAAGGGGCCUGCUUUUUGAGCUCUGGUCACAAGAUGGGUGAACAUGUGAGAUUUCUGCCCUGUUGGGCCAAAGACCUGCGAGAACAGCUUGUGCGUCUUUGGCACCUUUGAAUCGGACCUGGACCUUAUCAGCCCUGAGUCAGCCUGGAACCUGAUCUCCAGACCUGGGUGUGAACACCACUGUCACACACCACCACCCGUAGUGUUUCCAAUAUGGUUGUGCUUGGCCUUGAGUUACAUAUGUAUCAGUCCUAGGUGACUGAUUUCUACUGGUCCAUCAUGUGCUCCUUUAAGGUGAGAUUCCUGGUGUAUAGCGAAGAGUCAUCACAGCAGAGCAGAAAUUGCUGCGAAACUAAAGCUGAAAGUAAAGCUCUGUCCUCCGACACUGCCACUAAUUCUCUGGGGAUGUUUGACUCAGAGGAUGAAAACAGGCAAACCAGAGAGAUUGCAGUUCAUUCAGCCAGCGGGAUUACAGUUCAUUCAGCGGUGAACCUGGGGGCGUUGUUCAUCAGAGAAGCAUUUCAGCUCUUGGCAGUUUGCUGCCCUAUUUCUGCUUUAUACAUGUGUGACUGUCACAUGAUGUUACAUAACUGAUCACGUUACAUCACGAUCCGUCAGCCCCACAUGCAGGAAGAGACAAAGUGUCCUGGAGAACUAAUGCUGGGGAGGUGAUUUCUCUGCUCAAGGGUUGCUGGCCACCAAGCGAGCCAGAACCCCAAACUCCAGCCACUCGCUGCCCUGCUCUCCCCCCGCCAUCUGAGACCCAGCGCCCUGUGUAAACAAACCUGGACAUUUCCAAGUGAUUUGCCUCCAUUUUACAGCCAGGUCACAGAGAGACCAAGUGCCUUGUGCAGGGUCAUCCCCAGGGAGGCAGAGCCAGAAGUGGAACCUGGCUUUCCGGCCUCUGCUCCUCUUACAUAACGGCUUCCCCGCCCAGCGCUGCAUUUCACACAGGGCUUGGGGAAGGGAGCCUGGGUACAAGACGCUCUGAAAGGGAACCAAGAUGCAGCAGGACAGGAGGGCGGGUUCCUCACUCUCUCAGUGCCGUGACUGAACCUCGACUUAAAGGGGAGACAGCACCGGGAGCCUCACGCUCUGUAACCCCCUCACGGCUGGGCCAGACCCCUAACUGCAAAGUUUUUCUGUUCAUUGAAGGCACUUACACACACACCCCUCACCAAAGUGCCUGAGCACUGCACAGUCUUUACUGUAUUUACACACACACACACACACACACACACACACACACACACANNNNNNNNNNNNNNNNNNNNNNNNNNNNNNNNNNNNNNNNNNNNNNNNNNNNNNNNNNNNNNNUUAUACACACACACACACACACACACACACACACACACACCAUGAGAG